rnacentral:piRNA from 1 species
UGAGUUUGUCAGGGAAGUAUGGGAAGCAUC